rnacentral:tmRNA from 2 species
GGGGGCGACCGGUUUCGACGGAAAGUACUUUAAAAAACUGCAAGCCAAGUUCGAUUCACACUUGUCAAAAGGAAUCAAAAACAAGCGUCAACUCACAAAGUUACGCUGUAGCCUACGCUUAAAAAACGUUUUUAGGUUACUGUUCUUUCGGAGGCGCCUCUUGACCGCGCCGGAAGGGCAUAAACCAGUCAAGAUGCCGUAUCCAUCUUUGGUUUGGGCUGGAUACCCAAGACACUAAACCUUACUUCAGUCAAUUUUGUUGUCUUUCUACCUGAAGGAAAAUUUAAGGACAACUAAGCUUGUAGUAGUUUUUUAGAAAUAUUUUUCGGACGAGGGUUCAAUUCCCUCCGCCUCCACAA